UACGGAGGAUGCGAGCGUUAUCCGGAUUUAUUGGGUUUAAAGGGUGCGUAGGCGGGCUUUUAAGUCAGCGGUAAAAAUUCGGGGCUCAACCCCGUCCGGCCGUUGAAACUGGGGGCCUUGAGUGGGCGAGAAGAAGGCGGAAUGCGUGGUGUAGCGGUGAAAUGCAUAGAUAUCACGCAGAACCCCGAUUGCGAAGGCAGCCUUCCGGCGCCCUACUGACGCCGAGGCACGAAAGUGCGGGGAUCGAACAGG
rnacentral:rRNA from 1 species